rnacentral:rRNA from 1 species
AUUGAACGCUGGCGGCAGGCUUAACACAUGCAAGUCGAACGAGUCGCGGACGGGUGAGUAAUGCAUGGGACUCGUGCUGAGGGAGGGGGAUAACUACGGGAAACUGUUGCUAAUACCGCCUACCAUAGGCUGAGCCCAAGUAGGAGUAGGGAGUUGGGGAGGUAAAGGCUCACCAGGCCGACGAACUGUAGCUGGUCUGAGAGGAUGACCAGUCACACUGGGACUGAGACACGGCCCAGACUCCGACGGGAGGCAGCAGUGGGGAAUAUUGGGCAAUGGGGGAAACCCUGAUCCAGCCAUGCCGCGUGUAUGAAGAAGGCCUUCGGGUUGUAAAGUACUUUCGGUAGUGAGGCGUUACCUACAGAAUAAGCACCGGCUAACUUCGUGCCAGCAGCCGCGGUAAUAC